rnacentral:rRNA from 1 species
GUACACUCCUGCGGGAGGCAGCAGUGGGGAAUAUUGGACAAUGGGCGCAAGCCUGAUCCAGCCAUGCCGCGUGAGUGAUGAAGGCCCUAGGGUUGUAAAGCUCUUUUGUGCGGGAAGAUAAUGACGGUACCGCAAGAAUAAGCCCCGGCUAACUUCGUGCCAGCAGCCGCGGUAAUACGAAGGGGGCUAGCGUUGCUCGGAAUCACUGGGCGUAAAGGGUGCGUAGGCGGGUCUUUAAGUCAGGGGUGAAAUCCUGGAGCUCAACUCCAGAACUGCCUUUGAUACUGAAGAUCUUGAGUUCGGGAGAGGUGAGUGGAACUGCGAGUGUAGAGGUGAAAUUCGUAGAUAUUCGCAAGAACACCAGUGGCGAAGGCGGCUCACUGGCCCGAUACUGACGCUGAGGCACGAAAGCGUGGGGAGCAAACAGGAUUAGAAACCCGAGUAGUCCC